AGCUCCAAUAGCGUAUAUUAAAGUUGUUGCGGUUAAAAAGCUCGUAGUUGGAUUUCUGCUGAGGACGAUCGGUCCGCCCUCUGGGUGUGUAUCUGGCUCGGCCUUGGCAUCUUCUUGGAAAACGCAACUGCACUUGACUGUGUGGUGCGGUAUCCAGGACCUUUACUUUGAGGAAAUUAGAGUGUUUCAAGCAGGCGCACGCCUUGAAUACAUUAGCAUGGGAUAAUAAGAUAGGACCUUUGUUCUAUUUUGUUGGUUUCUAGAGCUGAGGUAAUGAUUAAUAGGGAUAGUUGGGGGCAUUCGUAUUUAACAGUCAGAGGUGAAAUUCUUGGAUUUGUUAAAGACGGACUACUGCGAAAGCAUUUGCCAAGGAUGUUUUCA
rnacentral:rRNA from 1 species